CCAGAGGAUCGGCCCGCGUUAGAUUAGCUAGUUGGUGAGGUAAUGGCUCACCAAGGCUACGAUCAUAGCUGGUCUGAGAGGAUGAUCAGCCACACUGGGACUGAGACACGGCCCAGACUCCUACGGGAGGCAGCAGUGGGGAAUAUUGGACAAUGGGCGCAAGCCUGAUCCAGCCAUGCCGCGUGAAGGAUGACGGUCCU
rnacentral:rRNA from 1 species